CUGCCUGCCGGUCACUGUGAGGGUGGCAGUCAGGCUGCCUUCGGCAGCACGCCUGCAGGAGGACCUCUGGUAAUGCGGAUUAGGUGACAUGCCUGCAGGAGGUCUUCUGGUAAUGCGGAUUAGGUGGCAUGCCUGCAGGAGGUCCUCUGGUAAUGCGGAUUAGGUGACAUGCCUGCAGGAGGCCCUCUGGUAAUGCGGAUUAGGUGACAUGCCUGCGGGAGGCCCUCUGGUAAUGCGGAUUAGGUGACAUGCCUGCGGGAGGUCCUCUGGUAAUGCGGAUUAGGUGACAUGCCUGCAGGAGGCCCUCUGGUAAUGCGGAUUAGGUGACAUGCCUGCGGGAGGUCCUCUGGUAAUGCGGAUUAGGUGACAUGCCUGCGGGAGGUCCUCUGGUAAUGCGGAUUAGGUGACAUGCCUGCGGGAGGUCCUCUGGUAAUGCGGAUUAGGUGACAUGCCUGCGGGAGGUCCUCUGGUAAUGCGGAUUAGGUGACAUGCCUGCGGGAAGUCCUCUGGUAAUGCGGAUUAGGUGACAUGCCUGCGGGAGGUCCUCUGGUAAUGCGGAUUAGGU